rnacentral:siRNA from 1 species
GGCGGUGGUGAGGCGAACGGC